rnacentral:rRNA from 1 species
AUUGACCUCGGAUCAGGUAGGGAUACCCGCUGAACUUAAGCAUAUCAAUAAGCGGAGGAAAAGAAACCAACAGGGAUUGCCUCAGUAACGGCGAGUGAAGCGGCAACAGCUCAAAUUUGAAAUCUGGCCCCGUCGGCCUCCGAGUUGUAAUUUGUAGAGAGUGUUUCGGGUGAGACCACGGUCUAAGUCUAUUGGAACAUGGCGUCAUAGAGGGUGAGAAUCCCGUAUGUGACCGUGGCUCGAGCCCAUGUGAAGCCUCUUCGACGAGUCGAGUUGUUUGGGAAUGCAGCUCAAAAUGGGUGGUAAAUUUCAUCUAAAGCUAAAUACUGGCUGGAGACCGAUAGCGCACAAGUAGAGUGAUCGAAAGAUGAAAAGCACUUUGGAAAGAGAGUCAAAAAGUACGUGAAAUUGUUGAAAGGGAAGCGCUUGCAACCAGACCUGUCCGUAGGUGAUCAACCGCUGUUCUCAGUGGUGCACUCGCUCUGCGAUCAGGCCAGCAUCGGUUCCGGCGGUCGGAUAAAGGCCUUGGGAAUGUAGCUGCCUUCGGGGAGUCUUAUAGCCCUCGGUGCAAUGCGGCCAGCCGGGACCGAGGACCGCGCUUCGGCUAGGAUGCUGGCGUAAUGGUUGUAAGCGACCCGUCUUGAAACACGGACCAAGGAGUCUAACAUCUAUGCGAGUGUUUGGGUGUUAAACCCAUGCGCGGAAUGAAAGUGAACGGAGGUGAGAACCCUUUAGGGCGCAUCAUCGACCGAUCCAGAUGUCUUCGGAUGGAUUUGAGUAUGAGCAUAGCUGUUGGGACCCGAAAGAUGGUGAACUAUGCCUGAAUAGGGUGAAGCCAGAGGAAACUCUGGUGGAGGCUCGCAGCGGUUCUGACGUGCAAAUCGAUCGUCAAAUUUGGGUAUAGG